ensembl:misc_RNA Metazoa_SRP Metazoan signal recognition particle RNA
GCCAGGCAUGGUGGCAGGUGCCUGUAGUCCCAGCUACUCAGGAGGCUGAGGCUGGAGGAUCCCUUGAGUCCAGGAGUUCUGGGCUGUAGUGCGCUGUGUCGAUCAGGUAUCUGCACUAAGUUCGGCAUCAAUAUGGUGACCUCCUGAGAGCGGAGGACCACCAGCUUGCCUAACGAGGGGUAAACUGGCCCAGGUCGGAAAUGGAGCAGGUCAAAACUUCUGUGCUGAUUGGUAGUAGGAUCGCGCCUAUGAAUAGCCACUGCACUCCAGCCUGGGUAACAUAGUGAGACCCCGUCUCUU